rnacentral:rRNA from 1 species
GUACACAAAAAUGCACAUGCUGUGAGCUCGAUGAGUAGGGCGGGACACGUGGUAUCCUGUCUGAAUAUGGGGGGACCAUCCUCCAAGGCUAAAUACUCCUGACUGACCGAUAGUGAACCAGUACCGUGAGGGAAAGGCGAAAAGAACCCCGGCGAGGGGAGUGAAAAAGAACCUGAAACCGUGUACGUACAAGCAGUGGGAGCACGCUUAGGCGUGUGACUGCGUACCUUUUGUAUAAUGGGUCAGCGACUUAUAUUCUGUAGCAAGGUUAACCGAAUAGGGGAGCCGAAGGGAAACCGAGUCUUAACUGGGCGUUAAGUUGCAGGGUAUAGACCCGAAACCCGGUGAUCUAGCCAUGGGCAGGUUGAAGGUUGGGUAACACUAACUGGAGGACCGAACCGACUAAUGUUGAAAAAUUAGCGGAUGACUUGUGGCUGGGGGUGAAAGGCCAAUCAAACCGGGAGAUAGCUGGUUCUCCCCGAAAGCUAUUUAGGUAGCGCCUCGUGAAUUCAUCUCCGGGGGUAGAGCACUGUUUCGGCAAGGGGGUCAUCCCGACUUACCAACCCGAUGCAAACUGCGAAUACCGGAGAAUGUUAUCACGGGAGACACACGGCGGGUGCUAACGUCCGUCGUGAAGAGGGAAACAACCCAGACCGCCAGCUAAGGUCCCAAAGUCAUGGUUAAGUGGGAAACGAUGUGGGAAGGCCCAGACAGCCAGGAUGUUGGCUUAGAAGCAGCCAUCAUUUAAAGAAAGCGUAAUAGCUCACUGGUCGAGUCGGCCUGCGCGGAAGAUGUAACGGGGCUAAACCAUGCACCGAAGCUGCGGCAGCGACGCUUAUGCGUUGUUGGGUAGGGGAGCGUUCUGUAAGCCUGCGAAGGUGUGCUGUGAGGCAUGCUGGAGGUAUCAGAAGUGCGAAUGCUGACAUAAGUAACGAUAAAGCGGGUGAAAAGCCCGCUCGCCGGAAGACCAAGGGUUCCUGUCCAACGUUAAUCGGGGCAGGGUGAGUCGACCCCUAAGGCGAGGCCGAAAGGCGUAGUCGAUGGGAAACAGGUUAAUAUUCCUGUACUUGGUGUUACUGCGAAGGGGGGACGGAGAAGGCUAUGUUGGCCGGGCGACGGUUGUCCCGGUUUAAGCGUGUAGGCUGGUUUUCCAGGCAAAUCCGGAAAAUCAAGGCUGAGGCGUGAUGACGAGGCACUACGGUGCUGAAGCAACAAAUGCCCUGCUUCCAGGAAAAGCCUCUAAGCAUCAGGUAACAUCAAAUCGUACCCCAAACCGACACAGGUGGUCAGGUAGAGAAUACCAAGGCGCUUGAGAGAACUCGGGUGAAGGAACUAGGCAAAAUGGUGCCGUAACUUCGGGAGAAGGCACGCUGAUAUGUAGGUGAAGCGACUUGCUCGUGGAGCUGAAAUCAGUCGAAGAUACCAGCUGGCUGCAACUGUUUAUUAAAAACACAGCACUGUGCAAACACGAAAGUGGACGUAUACGGUGUGACGCCUGCCCGGUGCCGGAAGGUUAAUUGAUGGGGUUAGCCGCAAGGCGAAGCUCUUGAUCGAAGCCCCGGUAAACGGCGGCCGUAACUAUAACGGUCCUAAGGUAGCGAAAUUCCUUGUCGGGUAAGUUCCGACCUGCACGAAUGGCGUAAUGAUGGCCAGGCUGUCUCCACCCGAGACUCAGUGAAAUUGAACUCGCUGUGAAGAUGCAGUGUACCCGCGGCAAGACGGAAAGACCCCGUGAACCUUUACUAUAGCUUGACACUGAACAUUGAGCCUUGAUG